UAUUAACCUCAAAUAGUUUACAUUGAUAUGGAUUUUGAUAUAUUUAUACAAAUUUAAAGUUACAUUUGUUAUGCUGUGUGUAUGUUCUACUCUUGUUUGGGGUAUUGUGUCCCGCGCAAUCGCCUCACCAGCAAGAACCACACAGGACAUUUGGAUCCUUCUGCAGUAAAGCUUUUAAUGCGUCUUGAGAGGAGAGCAUAAGCUUACUAGAGCGGAGACCCCGAGCCAAGAAUCCUGUCCCCUAAUAAAGGCUCACAGACUCUGAGCGAUGCGUGUACAGCUGGGAUAGGUGGAUGACUCGUCACCCCAUAUGACGCCAUGGAAUAGGCGGGGCUAGGCAGUGGAAAAGCACUGAGCACAUGGAUACCAACGUUGUUUACUUGAUCCGGCAGCGGAUGUCAGCGCCAUCUUGUAAUGGCGAAUCACCCAUUUACUUCAGAAAAGAUGAUGGGCAUCAAAGAUCCUCCAUAUGGAGUUUGCUUUUAAUAUAGCAAAACUAGCCAUUUGGACAAGAAACUGUCCUUGCUUUGACUGCUGAGUGUAUACCAUCCAAAGUGGACAUGCAGUAUACAUAGGAAAGCAGCUACUGAACUUCACAAAAACAAGUCAGGACAAUCAUUCAAACUCCCUGCUCCGCAGAAAAGGCUGUCAGAUAUUCUGGACCCAUAGGCCUAAGAUGGAUGCCCCAGUGAUGAAGAGGAACUUUGGUUGACUGUCAUUUCUAUAGUUUUGAAAGUGGCUUGCAAUUUACUUUCUGUUUACUCAAGUAAUAUUACAUCCUUCUGGGGUCUUUAACAGAGACGGUUAUAGUUAAAGUUUUCCUUAAUUAUGAUAGAAGUAAAUCAUGUACAAAAUUUUGGAUUUGUUAGGAUAGGAUAAACACUGGAGCAUUGGAGUAUUUUCUCUGAAUUCACCAAAUAAAAAUGGACUGGAUAUUGUAAAUGUAAUUCUUACUUGAUAAUUGUUCUUAUUGUAUAUAGUCUUACUAUGUUAAAGCUAAAUGUUAUGGGAUAUUUCUUUAACUAGGCAAAGGCAUGUUACAUCUAGGUUGCAGAAUAUUACCUUAACUAUGUAAAAAUGUGUUACAUUUGUUUUUGCUGCAUUUGUUAAUUAUGUAAAGAUGUGUGGCUGUUACACUUUGCCUGCCUAAGGAACCUGAUUGGUCUAAUAAAAAGCUAAAUUGCUAAUAGCUAGGCAGUAGAGGCAUGGUUUGGAUUAGCAGACAGAGAGAAUAAGAGGAG
rnacentral:lncRNA from 1 species